GACUGCUCUGGUGGCUUAGUGGUUAUAGCAUCUGCCUUGUAUGCAGGAGGUCACGGGUUCGAACCAGGGCCGAGUCA